UCACAUGGCCGAAUCCAAGUUCGUAACAUUGCUCGGCAUCCCUGACAUCUCUUCCUAUGUUUCCCGCUUUACGAUCGAAGUUGUCAGAGCCAGAUUCGAACGUCGAUCAUUGUGUUGUUUGAUCAGGGCCAUGCAAGUUUCCCAACAUUCGGAAUCUGAAAUGAUCUAAGUAGUUCGUGCAAGUGUAGGCUCCGAUGUAAGUGGUUUGAUACAUCUGGG
rnacentral:lncRNA from 1 species